CUUUGGAACAACUCGAUGAAUUUAGUAGAUCUUUUUAGGAGGCCAAAAAUGACUAUAGAUAGAACCUAUCCAAUUUUUACAGUGCGAUGGUUAGCUGUUCACGGACUAGCUGUACCUACCGUUUCUUUUUUAGGGUCAAUAUCAGCAAUGCAGUUCAUCCAACGAUAAACCUAAUUCGAAUCAUAGAGCUACGACACAAUCAAACCCGAACGAACAAAGUGUUGAAUUGAAUCGUACCAGUCUCUACUGGGGGUUAUUGUCCAAUCAUCAUUCCUAGAAUCAGAUUCUGAAUCAGUUGUAAUAUGCAAAACAGAAGCUGCUGAGCCUGCAAGUGGUGAUUUUGUGGAAAUUCAUGUUGCUGAGAUAAUUUAGGACAUUGUGAUUUCCAAUGCCCUUUCCCUUUACAAUAAGAACACUCAUCCAUAGCAACCCUACGAGAUCUUGCCGCAACCAAUGCUGAAGUGUUUGACAAAGAUGAAGAGAGCCUAUGCGACUGCACACGGACUUCUUCAGCUUGUAACUCAUUAAGAACAGAAUCAACAGAUGGAAGAGGAGUUCGAUGAAGGAUAGAGCUAUGGAGUGUCUCAAACUCAUCCCAAAGAGGCAUUAGAAACUAAACAAGACGUUGUUCUUCUCUAUAUUGACAAUAGACCUUGACAAUGCCAAGUUCUUCAGGCUCAGUCAAUGCAAGUUGAUCCUAAAGAUUGGUCAGUUCAUUGUAAAAAACUUGAAUACUCUUAUCACCCUGCUGGAUUGCAUGAAUCUCCAUUUCUAAUUGAUACCUCUUAGCAAAAUUGGCCUUGGUAUACAACUUUGCCAAGGGAUCCUAAACUUCCUUAGACGUUGAGAACUUAGCAAGUUGCAUUCCAAUAGUCAAAUCAACAGAAUUAUUAAUCCAAGUAAUAAUCUUUGAAUUAUUCAUCUCCCAUGCAGCAAACAAUUCAACAUGUUUCUCAUCUUUGGGGUUAUUUGGAAUAGAAAUCAUUCAAGAAACAUAGCCCCACAAACCUUUUCCAAUAAAAAAAUUCUUCAUCACAUACGCCCAAUACACAUAAUUAUUUCCUUUUAAUUUCACACCAAUGGCUUGUAAGGAAUCAUCCUUUGCAGAUGCCAUGACAACACUAAGGAACAAGAUACCUGAUAGCAAGCAGGCGACGGUGCAAUGGUGCAGAUGCAAAAUCAAAGCGCGACUGAUGCAUAUGCAGGCUGAUGCAAAAUCAAAGUUGUUGUGAUGAUUGCACUGAUCCGAGCAGGUACAAAUUCAAACCGGUGCAAGUAGGUUGCAGUCGGAGGGGUCCAUAUAGGUGCGGUGCGGAGUGAUCUGGUGCGAUGGUGGGCUAGGCACGGUGGUUCCUGAGAUAGUGACCUUGCUCUUAAUACCAAGUUGAAUAUUAUACCGGAAAAAACAUGCUUAUUGAUAGAUGAAAAUACCAACUACAAAGAGGUCCUUCUAUAGAGAAAGACUAAAGCAAACCCUAGACUAAAACCCUUAAACAAAUCCUAGACAAACUCAAAUACUUAAUGGACAAGUAACUAAUCCUUGGCCCGCAAGAUAACUAAUAACAAUCUAAAUUCAAUCUAAAUUCCAACAGAUAACACCACGUGUUGAUGUGAAUGUGAUUUGGUGCAGUAGUUAGAAAGAAGGUCAAAACUUCUGUAAAUGGGAUGAACAAACCACGGAGAGUUGACCAAAGUAAGGUUAGAGUACAUUUUUCUCGGAUAAAAAAAAAAACAAGGUUACGAGUACAUAAUCUCAAUCAUGUAUGGUCGGGUGUGUUCAAUUGACCCUUGUGGAACUUUUCCCACCAAGAAGCACCUUGGACAUCAAUUCUGCCAUUGUUAUCGGUAGGAGAGCUUCGUUCCGAAGGUGAGACUCUAAACCCUGGGAAGUUUAGAAAAGUAAUCAAAAUUUGGAUCUCAUAUAGAAUUAUAGCCACUCUUUAAAGUUUAUAAUAAUUAUAACUAGAAAAUGAUAAUUAUACCAAAAAAAUGAUAUGAAAGUACUUAUAUGCCCUUAAUUACUAUAAACUUCCUCACUCUUAACCAUAAAAAAAACUGCACCUGCCAUAUUUUUAUGAAGAACAACAUAGGUCGUCCGUUCAACAUUCGAUAAUUAAUGCUAUGGCAUAAAGAGAGUAACUAAUGAAUUAAAAUUGUGUCCGAUACCUUGUCCGACCUUUUCUAAGUGCUUUUAAUGAGACUUCAAGAAGAUCAGUCGAUUAAGGAAGAACUGCUGCUUUCAGAUGGUACACCGAUGAAAAGAGAACCUCAAUGCAAGCAGCUUGGAUUUCCAAGUUCGUCACCAUGUGGAGUCUUUGACACCACAUGUAAGAGUAAAAGUGAGACAUGUGAUCUUAAGAGCCGGAAACUCACAAAUCUAAAGGCUUUGAAAUCUACUAAUGAUGGAAUGAUUAAUCAGGAAUACCUUAACCGAACGGAGGAGACAUGGAAGAGUGUAGCUUCACUGCUCAACAAAUUUCACAAAAACCUCAGCGAAAUCAACAAAGUAAACAUAUUUUUCUGAAAGAGAAGUGUACAGAUAGACAUAAAUACGAAAUGAAAAUGAAAAAUCAAGAGUUCUGCGGACAUGCUACUUACUGGAGAUAGUGGCGACGACGGCUGGCGGUUGGAUCAAUUUCUUCAUCUGCAAUGGCGUCUCGCUUUUUGGCAAAUAAAAGUAAAUCUCAUUUUAAGGGUAUGUUAGUACUUUUAUAUCAACUAUUGGUUAUAAUUAUCAAAAACUUAAAGGGUGGCUAAAAUUUUAUAUGAUGUCCAAAUUUAGUUAUUUGUCCAAAUUUCCCCUAAACGUUCCACCAAAGCAUCUCUGCCUCUCCCAUAUAAAGGCAGUACUGGAAGAAGAGGCCACCCUAACUCAUUCUGUUCAUAAGCAGGUUAAAAAAUAAGCUCAAUAAAGAAAGGUAAAUAGUAAACAAUAUAUAAACUGCAUGAAAAAGAUGGUGUGAUAAAAGGAAGGGAAAUUAAGGAAGAUUACAAUCUAAUAUAUAAAUUCAGAUUUAAAGAAAAUUUGAUUACAUAAUUGUCUAAUCACCAUAUAGCUUUGCCAGUUAUAUAUAUUACUUCCCACAAAUAUAUACCAUAGUACGUACGUUGGUGUGCUUCAGUUUCAUAUAACUUCCCUAUCACAACUCACAAUACAUACAUAGUACUUUUUCAAGUACGAUAUUCAUUGAUGAAGAAGAAACACAUACAAACAAAUGGAUAGGAUGUUAACAAUGGGUCUCGAUAAAAACCUUACCGGGGAUUUAAACCCGGACAAAGGCAAAAGAACGUUCCGCACCAAACAAAUUAGGUAGCGCUAUUCUAAAAAAGAAUAUAAGAAACUACAUCUAGAAGUUCUUCAAACUAAGUUACUUGAUUAUCUAGAGUCAAGCUCAGUCUUGCAAAUCGAUGUGUCACCUUAUUCGUCCCUCUUCGACUAAACAUGACCUUUCAAUAGAGGAAGUGUUGCGUGAGUUAACCUUGGAGAAUAAGGAAUGUAGAGAUAUUUGGGUAUAUAAUUAUGUAAUUGGUAUCCUUGUGUAUUUGGGAUACUUGUUUCCUAAUUUAUAGGAGAUUGUGUAAGUUUAUACAUUCCUCUAUGAGAGAAGAAUAAUAUCAGAACAAUAUUUACCAAAACCCUAGAAUUUUAUCUUAGUACCAGAGCAGGUUUUGACCUAACUCUUCUCGAAAAACCCUAAACACCAUACAUGUCCUAGUCAUCAAAACUCUGGUUCUUCAAAUCUUGAAUCCAGAAAUCAAGUCUCGUAGCCCUUGGAAGUAACAAGGCUACAAUCGGCAGUGCCAUGGCUGAAGAAAAAGCUGGCGCUAGAAUCCCCAUGCAACCCGUGGCGACUCAAAGUGAGUCUAUCAAUGUCAAUGCCAUUCCGUUCGGGUUUCGGUUGAGCAACUCGAACUUCAAGGCUUGGUCCAAGAUGAUAGAGGUUCAUGCUUCAGGCCUCGAGAGGUAAGGCUACCUAACGGGUAAAAUCCCGACUGUUGAUGAAGAUGAUCCGGGAUAUGUAAAGUGGUCAACUGAAGAUGCCAUCGUGCACGGGUGGUUGCUCAAAACCAUGGAACCACACCUACUUGGCCUCUUUAUAUAUUUACCCACGGCCAAAGAAAUCUGGGAGAGUGUUACCCAGAUGUUCUAUGAUGGUUCCGAUGAGUCACAAUCAUAUGAACUCCGGUGCAAGGCUACAAGAACGAGACAAGACGAUCAUCCAAUCAAUCUAUAUUUCACCGAACUAAAAGGCAUUUGGUAGGACCUGGACAAGAGACAUCCUCUGCGUAUGGUGUGUGGAACAUACAUAAAAACUCAGAAAGAAGAAGUUGCAAAAGAUAGGGUGUAUGACUUUCUUGCUGGAUUAGAUAACGGUUUUGACCAAGUUUGGAGUGAAAUUCUAAGGAUGAAACCUAUCCCUAGAAUCGAAGAAUGCUUCAAUUUGGUACGACGAGAAUCCUAGAGGAAGGCCACUAUGAUGGGAACAAAGACUACGAUGGCAGUACCUCGUAUGGCUAUGGCAACCAAGGCGUCUGGUUCACGUCCACAGUCUAAUGGAAGCACUCGACCAUCACGUACCCAGGAAGAUAUUGAGUAAUGGAACACGACAUACUGAGGAGACCUGUUUUGAAAUCCAUAGCUACCCAGAUUGGUAUUGGGAGAGAAAGAAGGAAUUAAAGGCUCGGGGAAAUAAAAGAACGGGUCAAGGCCGUGUAGCAGACAUUAGACCAGGAGUAGCGCCGAGUGUACAAGAGGGCCAAACUGGGCUUAAAGCCCAACCUAAAAAAACUAAGGGGGUCCGAGGAUUGGCUGUUGUUGCAGCAAGCCAGCCGUGGCCCACUUCGUCCAACCCAAUCGCAGCAGCCCAAGCUACAAUGACCAUUUCAAAGGCAGCUUCCACAAGAGAUGACAUCGACCUACUCCUAUCUUUAAUCAAUCAAAUCUCAAUGAGUGACAACUCGGAGGAUCCAGGUAAAAUCGGUACUGUUUUAAUAACAUCCACCAAAAGAGAUAUUGGUUGGAUAAUUGACUUUGGAGCUUCAGAUCAUAUGACUUAUGAUGCAUCAUUAUUCUAUCAUAUGACUUCAUCGUCUAAAGAAUAGGUCAUUACUGCCAACGGUGAUGUUGCUCUUGUAACAGAAGCAGAUUCUAUUUCCCUUACUCCAUCUUUGUCUAUUCACAACGCACUACUUGUUCCGUCUUUAUCCAAUCACCUACUUAAGGUUGGUCAAGUUACUGAGCAAUUAGAUUGUGUUGUGCUAAUGUUUCCCAUUGAUAUCCAAACUAGGGCGAUAAUUGGGCGUGGUACUAAGAGGAGAGGGUUAUAUUAUAUGGAUGAUGUAUCUGCAAGUCGAGUAAAUCAAGUAUGCAGUAGUCACUCAAGCAAGAAUAAGACAGUUUGGUUAUGGCAUCGUCAAUUAGGGCAUGCAUCUUUUGGUUAUUUAAAAAAAUUGCUUCCGUCUUAUAUUUAAUGGUGUUUCAGACUCUGAUUUCCAGUGUAGUGAUUGCAUUUGUGCAAAAAGUCAUCGUACUUCUUAUAAUUCGAGUUCUAAUAAAAGAACAGUUCCUUUUGAAUUCGUUCAUUCUGAUGUGUGGGGGCCUUCUCCAGUAGCUACUAAUCAUGGAAUUCGUUGGUUUGUUAUAUUUAUGGAUGACUGCACCAGAAUGACAUGGCUUUAUACUAUGAAACAUAAAAGUGAUGUUGGUCAAAUUUUUCACCAGUUUUAUUGCAUGGUUAAAAAUCAGUACUCCCUACCCUUAAAGGUUCUCAGGUCCGAUAAUGGUGAGGAAUAUCUCAAUACCAAAGUUUCUCAAUAUUUUCAGGAGCACAACAUUCUUUAUGAGACUACUUGCCCACAAACCCUGCAACAAAAUGGGGUUGUAGAACACAAAAAUAGGCACAUUUUGGAAACCACUCGAGCACUCCUUAUUGGUGCUCACGCUCCUCAUUCCUAUUGGGCAGAUGCCAUCAGAUACUCAGUUUAUCUCAUGAACCGAAGCCUUCCCGGGUGCAUAAUUUUCGCACUCCUAUGAAAGUUGUUGCCGACCAUGUGACAUUACCAUCUUCCCUUCGGUUGCAACCCCGUAUCUUUGGUUGUGUGGCUUAUGUGCACUCCAUAAAAAUCAGUGCAGUAAGUUGGAUCCAUGUGUUGUUCGAUGUAUUUUUCUGGGAUUUAAUGGUCAGCAGAAGGGGUAUCGAUGUUAUCAUCCAUCUACCAAGCAUAUGUACAUCACCAUGGAUGUUACAUUUUCUGAGCAUGAGAUGUUUUUUCUUACUGACCACACCUACUAUAAUCUUCAGGGGGAGAUGAGCACAGAAAAUUCUAGUUGGAUUGAUCUUCCAACUGACUGUGGGCGUGAAAUCUGCAGUGGUGGAAUCUGCCAACCACCUGUGAUCAGCCAAAACCCAAUAAUUGGUUUAAGUGAUUGCCGUGAGCAACCUAGCAGCAUUAGUGAGCCUAAUCUGGGCUUGCUAAGUUCAAAAUAUAAGGCAAGUGGACUUGAAGGUCUAGAAGCCGAGGGCUUCUCUGAGCCCAGCAUGCAAUAUGAGGCCAGCGCCAUGCUGCAGUGAGCCGCACUCUCCUACUCAAAAUUUGGACAGCUCAAGCACUUCAAAUAACCCUUGUCCAGUUGUACCCGUUCAUGUGCCCGAUUAUAUCUGUGAGGUAAGUUUGUCCCAAUCUGAUGUAGCUCAUAAUUUGACUAACAUUGAAAGUACUUAUGUAUUGCCUCAUAUACAAAAUCGUGGGAAACCUCCUGACAGGUAUUCUCUAGAUGGAAAAGUGAGAUAUGUAAUUGCAAAGUAUGUUUCUACUCAUCAGUUAUCUCCCAAGUACCAAGCAUUUGUGAAUACAAUGGAUGGAAUUAAAAUUCCAACUAAAGUGGAAGAAGCUUUGUGGGAUCCUCGAUGGACAGAAGUAAUAGACGUUGAAAUGAAGGCCUUACAAAAAAACGGAACUUGGAGCGUGGAGACACUACCCUAAGGAAAAAAACCAGUAGGGUGCAAGUGGGUGUUCACAAGGCGGAUGGAACCAUCGACAAAUACAAGGCAAGGUUGGUUGCUAAGGGGUACACAUAGACCUUUGGAGUAGAUUAUCAAGAAACAUUUGCCCUGGUAGCAAAGAUGAACACUAUAUGGGUUAUUUUGUCUUUAACUGCUAAUUUUGAUUGACCGUUGAAACAAUUUGAUGUAAAAAAUGCUGUUCUACAUGGAGAUCUGGAAGAAGUAUACAUGGAGCUUCCACCUGGGUAUGAAGUGCAUAAUAGAACAGGUAAGGUGUGUAGACUACAAAAGGCUCUUUAUGGACUCAAACAAUCGCCGAUGACCUGGUUUGGAAGAUUCACUGAUGUGAUGAAGAUAUACGGUUACCGACAAGGAAAUGCAGAUCACACUCUGUUAAUCAAAUGCAUGGGUGAAAAGGUUACCUUGUUAAUAAUAUAUUUUGAUGAUAUGGUAGUCAUAGGUGAUGAUACAGAAGAAAUGGAGAAACUACAGGAGUAUCUCUCUACGAAGUUUGAGAUGAAAGAUUUAUGAGGUUUGAAGUAUUUCUUGGGAAUUGAAGUUGCUCGUUCCCAUGAUGGUAUUUACUUAUCUCAGCGGAAGUAGUUAUUGAUCUUCUGGCUGAGACACGUAUGCUGGUGUGUAAACCAGCAUAAACACCUAUAGUUCAAAAUCAUCAGUUGGCAAUUUACCUAGACCAGGUCCCACCAAACAGGGAAAGAUACCAAAGGUUAGUAAGAAGGUUGAUUUACUUGUCUCUCACGAGACCAGAUAUUGCAUAUGCUGUUAGUGUAGUAAGUCAAUUUAUGCACUCUCCUAGUGAAGAUCAUAUGGCUGCAGUAAUGCGAAUAUUGAGUUAUUUGAAAGGUGCAACUGGAAAAGGAUUGAUUUUCAAUAAACAUGGGCAUUUAGAGGUCAAAGGGUACACUGAUGCUGAUUGGGUUGAGAAUAUUACUGAUAGAUGCUCUACAUAAGGGUAUUUUACAUUUGUUGGAGGAAAUCUUGUGACUUGGAGGAGCAAGAAACAAAAUGUGGUUGCUAGGUCAACGGUAGAUGCCGAAUAUCGUGGUAUGGCACAUGGGGUUUGUGAAUUAUUAUGGUUGAAGAUUCUUCUUACAAAGAUCAGGUUCAAGCCAAGUGAAGCCAUGCUAUUGUAUUGUGAUAAUCAGGCUGUGCGAGAAAUAACUAACAAUCCAAUUCAGCAUGAUCGUACAAAACAUGUUGAGGUGGAUAGACAUUUUAUCAAAGAAAAGUUGGUUCACAAGUUGGUGGAAAUUCUGUAUGUAAGAUCUGAAGACCAAUUGGCUGGCGUGUUAACUCUUGCAGUGUCAGCGAGAGUGUUCCAGGACUCAAUUGACAAGUUGGGCCUAGGUGAUAUUUAUGCACCAACUUGAGGGGGAGUGUUGCGUGAGUCAACCUUGGAGAAUAAUGAAUGUAGAGAUAUUUUGGGUAUAUAAUUAUGUAAUUGGUAUCCUUGUGUAUUUGGGAUACUUGUUUCCUAAUUUAUAGGAGAUUGUGUAAGUUUAUAUAUUCCUCUAUGAGAGAAGAAUAAUAUCAUAACAAUAUUUACCAAAACCCUAUAAUUUUAUCUGGAAGGCCUUCAGUACCUGCCGGGCAUCAUGUAGAAUAUGCCCAAACGGGCCAUUAAUGACUUCUACAUCCCUUUGAAGUGCUGCUACCAUUAGUGCAUCCCCCUCAAGCUCCAUCUGUGUUCCCCCCAAGUUUGGUGAUAGAGUUAGAAUGAUAAUUUCUUAGAGUUACGGUUGACAAAUAGAGUUUUGUUACGUGGUUUAGAUCAAUUAAAUAGUUAUGUUAUUUAUAUGAGAACUAUUAUUAGCACUUCAAAAGUCUAAUUGUGUACUUAUCGUAUGAGUAUUUUUCAUUCUAAAUAUAGAAAAUUUGAAGUACAAAAAGAUUUAUAUUAUUAAUUAAUUAAUCUAUUUUCACUACAAUCGUGUGUAUCGGUGCACCAAUAUAACGGCGUAUGUUCACACAUAAUUUAAAACCAUGUCAUUAUUCCAACAAAUCCUAUUCCUAUUUGAUAAAAAAAAAUAAUAAAAAAAAAUAAAAAUCCUAUUCCAACUCCGAUACUCAUUAUAAAUCAUAUUCCUACUCCUAUACUUACUGCUUUCUUAUAAAUAUCACUAAUCUCUUGUUCUCUCCCCCAUCAAAACUAAUAAGCAAACAAAUACAGAAACGAGAGAACUACGUUCCAGCUUCGCUAUUCUUUGUGUUAGCAAUGGCCAGAGCGCCGUAGGGUUUCUGCUUCCAACCCACCGACCAACAAUUCGACCGUUCGUUUCUCUACAAGAUGGCGGUUAAUAACCAGCAGUUGGCGCCGUCAUACAGCGAGUACGUGCAUGAGGAGGACCUCUUUGGCAUCAAAUAACCAUGGGAGCUCUGGGAAGAAUAUGGAGGAGAUCAAGACUUAUAUGUCUUCUGCUAGCUCAAGAGUUUAAACUUGGCUGAUUCGCACGUCCAUCACAUUAAUUGCAAGUUUGGGGGAGGCACUUGGAGAGAAGGAGAUCCAUUCAAAUCGGUUUAUGAUGAGAAUGGAAACCUUAACCCUAUUGGGAGGAAGAGAAAGUUUCGGUACGAGAAUCGAGGGUCGGAGGAGCACGUAGGGUGGUUUUUAGACGAAUAUAGUCUGCUUGCUGGUCAUGUUGAAAAGGCCUCAAAGGAUCACUACGAUUUUCCUUUGGUGAUUUGUCAGCUGCAGAAGAAAAGAAACAAUUGAUUAGUUGAAGAGAGAUCAUGGAAUUUAUGAUACUAAUUAAAGUGAUGGCAUUGAAAAUCUGUAACAAAAAUUUUGAUAGAGGUUGUAAUUUCGAUCACUACGAUUUUCCUUUCGUAAAUUUGUCGGCUGCGGAAGGAGAGAAAUAAUUGAUUAAUUGAGGAAAAAUGAUGGAUUAUGAUACUGUUGACCCUAAAAACUACAAAGCUUACGUGACGCGCAGACUGAGUAAUAUAUAAGCUAACUACAUCUUUCGGUUGAAUAUGGGGCUUGCCAACUCAUCGGCCGAGCUCGGCCGAGGAGUAAAAUUUUUUGAUGUUGCGUUGAGUGCGCGGCUGACUUCUCCGUCUCGUGAUUGCGACCGAGAAAGGAACACGUCUCGGCCUCUUGGGUUCUCGAACCUGAAGACAA
rnacentral:lncRNA from 1 species